rnacentral:misc_RNA from 1 species
AACGCACCUUGCGCCUUUUGGUAUUCCGAAAGGCAUGCCUGUUUGAGUGUCAUGAAAUAUCAACCCCUCCUGGUUUCUGAUCAGUGUUGGGCUUGGACUUGGGUGUCUGCCAGUUCGCUGGCUCGCCUUAAAAGAGUUAGUGGUAAUAACAUCCACGGCUAAGACGUAAUAAGUUUCGUCUGGUCAAGGUGUGACGACUGCUCAUAACCCGACCGCAAGGUCAUUAUUUUAUGCUCUGACCUCAAAUCAGGUAGGACUACCCGCUGAACUUAA